rnacentral:lncRNA from 1 species
GAAUCUAGAUUGGUAGUUCACAUACUAUAUAUUUACAAUUUGUAAAGUUACAUCACAUAGGAGAAGUACUACUUAGUCUAUCUACAGCAACUAAUAAAAUUAUGUUUUUUCAAUAGAUCGGGGGGUCACAUGGUCAGAUUGUCAGUGGAUGCGACUGAAGUCAUUGAUAGCUUCCAAUUACAUGUGGGUUCGAUCUUCUUACAAUCUCCCUACCUGCCAUAACUACAAGUGCAAAAAAAUACAAAUGAGGGACAAAUCAAAGCAUAGUGUCAAGUGGAUGAGGAAGGAUCUAAUACCUGGAUACAACAUUAAUCUUCAGUGGAUGAGACCCAUCUUGUUAGUACCAAAAAAAUUAUUUACACCUUUACACUGAUGAAACCAACUUGAAGAAAUGAAGAGCAUGGUUAAGCAGUAAGGGGG